GUCGAACGGUAACAUAAAGAAGCUUGCUUCUUUGAUGACGAGUGGCGGACGGGUGAGUAAUGCUUGGGAAUCUAGCUUAUGGAGGGGGAUAACUACGGGAAACUGUAGCUAAUACCGCGUAGAAUCGAGAGAUGAAAGUGUGGGACCUUCGGGCCACAUGCCAUAGGAUGAGCCCAAGUGGGAUUAGGUAGUUGGUGAGGUAAAGGCUCACCAAGCCGACGAUCUCUAGCUGGUCUGAGAGGAUGACCAGCCACACUGGGACUGAGACACGGCCCAGACUCCUACGGGAGGCAGCAGUGGGGAAUAUUGCGCAAUGGGGGCAACCCUGACGCAGCCAUGCCGCGUGAAUGAAGAAGGCCUUCGGGUUGUAAAGUUCUUUCGGUAGCGAGGAAGGCAUUUAGUUUAAUAGACUAGGUGAUUGACGUUAACUACAGAAGAAGCACCGGCUAACUCCGUGCCAGCAGCCGCGGUAAUACGGAGGGUGCGAGCGUUAAUCGGAAUAACUGGGCGUAAAGGGCACGCAGGCGGUGACUUAAGUGAGGUGUGAAAGCCCCGGGCUUAACCUGGGAAUUGCAUUUCAUACUGGGUCGCUAGAGUACUUUAGGGAGGGGUAGAAUUCCACGUGUAGCGGUGAAAUGCGUAGAGAUGUGGAGGAAUACCGAAGGCGAAGGCAGCCCCUUGGGAAUGUACUGACGCUCAUGUGCGAAAGCGUGGGGAGCAAACAGGAUU
rnacentral:rRNA from 1 species